AAGGGGUGACCCAUAGAAUACGUCGCAUGACGGAUUGCUUUUUGACAGCUCACUUCAAAUUCCAAGGUGUGUUCGAUAUUUUAUCGCUGAAUGUGCACUAAGGAAGUUCUGAUGCAAGAAAUUUUUAACUAUUAUUGUUGUUCUUUUUUUUUAAUAAAAUAAAGUGCAAGAUAAACUUCCUCUAGGUACUUGCUCUUCAGUUAAAAACAAUUUUUUAUGACAAAUUAUGAGUUGUAUGUAUGACUUUGGCAUAGUAAAAUUGAACUCUACAACAGAAUUUGAGUAUUUAAUUGAUAUAAUUUAUUAGAUAUAUCAUUAAAUGUUACUUUUAUUACAUUUUCUUCACAAAUAUACAAUUAAAGUUCACAAUUCAUAAUAUCGGAGAAGAAAAGAACACAGUUCUUAGCUCUGCAAUUCCCCGUUGUGCACUCAGAAACAGAAAAUCGAACUGAUCUAUUGUUGACAACCAAUGUCAAAGGAUACGACGGAUGAAAAAGUAGAAAGUUGGGCUACUUCUUCCGUCGAAUCCGUCCGUCUCCUUCCAAUCCGUCGCUUAUGGGUCGCUUCCCAUAAGAACGUGUGUAUUUUAUCGAGCUAUCAGUUGAAAACUUCGACGGAACGGACGCAACGGAUUCUAUGGGUUGGGAAAUUUUACUCAUACAAACAAAAUGAAACAAAAAUAUUGGGCGAAUUCACAAACGGCUACGUAGUCGACUCGUUCUGAUUGGCUGAGAAGAACUAAAAAAUUUGUUAAAAUUUCCCCUCCGACGUAGUGUAAAAAUGUUGGACUUCAAAGUUAUGUCGAUUUUUUGAACCGCCUCAAAAAAAUCGAAUUUUUGGUGUUAAAAAGGAACAUAAAAACAGACCGAAUUCUUUUUGCGAUUGUAUGUGUGUUAUUUGACAACAAUUUUUACACGAACGUCAAGCUGAAAUCAAAACAAUUUCUGCAAAAUAUUGGGUUUGGACCAGUUUUUAAUUUAUUGGGAAUAGAAGAAAACUACCGUUCAAUGCAUGGAAUUUCUUUAAAUGUGGAAAUGAGCUGGGAUGUUUUUCCAAUCACGCUAUGUGAUUGUUUUCCAUAUAUUCUUUGGAUGGGUUUUUAAAAUGAUCUCUCAUUAAAACUCAUAUUUUCAGCAUUUGCUUGGGAAAAAUAAAAGUAUGAUGGUAACUCACGUUACAAAAAUCGGACACGAGUUUUAAGAGUCCGACAGUAUGAAGUUUUUCUGCGAAAUUUAGAAUCUUAAUUUGUUUUUAAUGAAGAUUCCAUACAUACAAAAUUACAAGCUUUUAAUAUAACAUGGUGAUCUUGAAGACGCGGCAGGUUUUACAAAAAUGGACCCCAAAAGUAAUGAUGCAGGAAUGUUCGGACUGAUUUCAGGAUUCUAAAUAUGUAAACUUCAAAAUCGUACCUGAUCCCUUUUUUGAGGUAUAAGCAUUUUUGUAUACACGGGAGGGCAUGUCGAAAAAAGACAUUUUGAUUUUGUAUAUGUUUUUCGAAAGCUAUAAUAUUGUUCUUGAACUUAGUCUUUAGUUUAAGUUGGUUGAGCAAAUAUGUUCGGAGAAAUUUAAUUUCAAAAACAUCAUUUUAGAAAAAAAAAUUUUUUUUUUCUUCAAGUUUAUUUUUUUCCAUUUUUUUAAAUAAAGGGUACAAUUUUUUUUACAUAAUUCAAUGGUCUUAUAAAUUUCUAGUCGAAAACAAAAAACCACAUGCUUAUAAGUAUUUUCGUUUUUGAGAUUGGAGGAAAAAUGUAUCGCAUCCCCAGAAUUUUUUUUCCUCCUAGGACCUAUGGGCUCUGUUAUAGCUUUCAGUAAAAUCCAUCAGUAAACAUUUUGUUUAGCUAUUUUGAAUACUUUAAACAUUUAUUUUGAACAAAAUAUUGAUAAAAUAAGUUGGGAGCUUAUUUUAACUAUUUUUUUUUCAAAAAGAAGCAAUGCAUUUGGUGUUAAAUUUCAUUCACAAACCCAUUUUAUAAAUUUUACUGUUCAGUAAAAUAAAAUUUCAUCAGUAAAAUUUAUAAAAUGUAUUUGUGACUAAAAUGUAACACCAAAAGCGUUGCUUCUUUUUCAAAAAGUUAGUGAAAAUGUGUUU